rnacentral:rRNA from 1 species
UACGUAGGGGGCAAGCGUUGUCCGGAAUUAUUGGGCGUAAAGAGCGUGUAGGCGGCCCGGUAAGUCCGCUGUGAAAGUCAAAGGCUCAACCUUUGAAUGUCAGCGGAUACUGCCGGGCUAGAGUCCGGAAGAGGCGAGUGGAACUCCUGGUGUAGCGGUGGAAUGCGCAGAUAUCAGGAAGAACACCAACGGCGAAGGCAGCUCGCUGGGACGGUACUGACGCUGAGACGCGAAAGCGUGGGGGAGCGAACAGG